GACGAACGCUGGCGGCGUGCCUAAUACAUGCAAGUGGGACGCAAGGAAACACACUGUGCUUGCACACCGUGUUUUCUUGAGUCGCGAACGGGUGAGUAACGCGUAGGUAACCUGCCUAUUAGCGGGGGAUAACUAUUGGAAACGAUAGCUAAUACCGCAUAAUAUUAAUUAUUGCAUGAUAAUUGAUUGAAAGAUGCAAGCGCAUCACUAGUAGAUGGACCUGCGUUGUAUUAGCUAGUUGGUAAGGUAAGAGCUUACCAAGGCGACGAUACAUAGCCGACCUGAGAGGGUGAUCGGCCACACUGGGACUGAGACACGGCCCAGACUCCUACGGGAGGCAGCAGUAGGGAAUCUUCGGCAAUGGACGAAAGUCUGACCGAGCAACGCCGCGUGAGUGAAGAAGGUUUUCGGAUCGUAAAGCUCUGUUGUAAGUCAAGAACGUGUGUGAGAGUGGAAAGUUCACACAGUGACGGAGCUACCAGAAAGGCGCA
rnacentral:rRNA from 1 species